CCUACGGGUGGCAGCAGUCGAGAAUCAUUCACAAUGGGGGAAACCCUGAUGGUGCGACGCCGCGUGGGGGAAUGAAGGUCUUCGGAUUGUAAACCCCUGUCAUGUGGGAGCAAAUUAAAAAGAUAGUACCACAAGAGGAAGAGACGGCUAACUCUGUGCCAGCAGCCGCGGUAAUACAGAGGUCUCAAGCGUUGUUCGGAAUCACUGGGCGUAAAGCGUGCGUAGGCUGUUUCGUAAGUCGUGUGUGAAAGGCGCGGGCUCAACCCGCGGACGGAACAUGAUACUGCGAGACUAGAGUAGUGGAGGGGGAACCGGAAUUCUCGGUGUAGCAGUGAAAUGCGUAGAUAUCGAGAGGAACACUCGUGGCGAAGGCGGGUUCCUGGACAUUAACUGACGCUGAGGCACGAAGGCCAGGGGAGCGAAAGGGAUUAGAUACCCUUGUAGUC
rnacentral:rRNA from 1 species